CCUACGGGUGGCAGCAGUGGGGGAUAUUGCACAAUGGGGGAAACCCUGAUGCAGCGACGCCGCGUGGGCGAAGAAGUAUUUCGGUAUGUAAAGCCCUAUCAGCAGGGCAGAAGAAAUGACGGUACCUGAGUAAGAAGCACCGGCUAAAUACGUGCCAGCAGCCGCGGUACUACGUAUGGUGCAAGCGUUAUCCGGAUUUACUGGGUGUACAGGGAGCGCAGGCGGCACGGCAAGCCUGAUGUGAAAGUACGCGGACCAACGGCGGGACUGCCUUGGGGACUACAGGGCUGGAGUGACGGAGAGGUAGGGGGAAGUCCGGGUGUAGCGGUGAAAUGCGGAGAUAUGAGGAGGAACAGCAGUGGCGAAGGCGGCCUACUGGACGGUGAGUGACGCUGAGGCUCGAAAGCGUGGGGAGCAAACAGGAGUAGAUACCCUAGUAGUC
rnacentral:rRNA from 1 species